rnacentral:rRNA from 1 species
GAUGAACGCUGGCGGCGUGCCUAAUACAUGCAAGUCGAGCGAACGGACGAGAAGCUUGCUUCUCUGAUGUUAGCGGCGGACGGGUGAGUAACACGUGGAUAACCUACCUAUAAGACUGGGAUAACUUCGGGAAACCGGAGCUAAUACCGGAUAAUAUUUUGAACCGCAUGGUUCAAAAGUGAAAGACGGUCUUGCUGUCACUUAUAGAUGGAUCCGCGCUGCAUUAGCUAGUUGGUAAGGUAACGGCUUACCAAGGCAACGAUGCAUAGCCGACGUGAGAGGGUGAUCGGCCACCCUGGAACUGAGACACGGUCCAGACGCCUACGGGAGGCAGCAGUAGGGAAUCUUCCGCAAUGGGCGAAAGCCUGACGGAGCAACGCCGCGUGAGUGAUGAAGGUCUUCGGAUCGUAAAACUCUGUUAUUAGGGAAGAACAUAUGUGUAAGUAACUGUGCACAUCUUGACGGUACCUAAUCAGAAAGCCACGGCUAACUACGUG